CUACGGGGUGCAGCAGUGAGGAAUAUUGCACAAUGGGGGGAACCCUGAUGCAGCAACGCCGCGUGGAGGAUGACGCAUUUCGGUGUGUAAACUCCUUUUAUAUGUCAAGAAAAUGACGGUAGCAUAUGAAUAAGCACCGGCUAGCUCCGUGCCAGCAGCCGCGGUAAUACGGAGGGUGCAAGCGUUACUCGGAAUCACUGGGCGUAAAGGACGCGUAGGCGGGCUUGUAAGUCAGGUGUGAAAUCCUACAGCUUAACUGUAGAACUGCACUUGAAACUACGAGCCUAGAGUAUGGGAGGGGGAGAUGGAAUUAGUGGUGUAGGGGUAAAAUCCGUAGAUAUCACUAGGAAUACCUAAAGCGAAGGCGAUCUCCUGGAACAUAACUGACGCUAAGGCGUGAAAGCGUGGGGAGCAAACAGGAUUAGAUACCCCUGUAGUC
rnacentral:rRNA from 1 species